rnacentral:lncRNA from 1 species
UAUUUUAUUGACUAAGCCGUAUCUUCAGCCCUUCUACAGGACUCUGCAGAAAAGCAAGAAGUUAUCUUCACCAACCAAUGAACCAAGCAAGGAAGCAAACAAACCUACUGAAAAUACAUUUCUAAUCUCAAAACUUACUACGAAGUCACACUGACCAAACAGUGUGGUAUUGGGAUAAAGAAGACAUCAUUAGUGGGAUACAAACAACAGGCUAGAGGAAGUGUUCCUGUUGUUAACAGUCAAUGGAAUGUCAAGACAAUUCAGGGCAGAAAGGUCUCUUUAACAAAUGACGUUAGGACCCCACAUUACAUACAAAAUGAACUCAACAUGGAUUAGUGACUUCCCUUAAGAGCUUUGGGCUGGGAAAUGGCUCGGCCAGUAAAAUGCUUGCACAUGUGAAAACCCGAGUGCAGUUCCCCAGCCACCAUGUUAAACAAUGCCAACUGCAGUGGUGUGCAGAUAUGUUACGUAUCUGUAACAUAUGGCAUUAUGUUGAAACUAUUAUUAUGAAACUAUCUCUUCCUUCCUUAGAGACUGGUCACUUAAGACCAGAAUCCCACUGUGUCCUCAGCUUAUCUUUAACCUGUCUUUAAAAAGAAUACUGUAACAACCAAACUUACUUGUCUUGGAUUUCAACUUUUAUAACCUACACUAAUGCAAAGCUGUAAUCUUAAAUUAUGUACUCUUCCAUGCCCCCAUCUGAGACUAAUGCAUGUGUGUAUAUAUGUGUUGUGGUCAUUACUUGCUAAAAACAGCAAAUAUAGGCUGACAGCAAUCUUAUAAAAUAAAUAUCCCCCACAAAUAUGGAAAACAACUUACG